rnacentral:rRNA from 1 species
UUGCCUUUAUCGUGCGUCGCGACUCGCAUAUGAUGAUGUCGCUCUCUGACGUUAGGGGCGGACGGGUGAGUAACACGUGGAUAACCUACCUAUAAGACUGGGAUAACUUCGGGAAACCGGAGCUAAUACCGGAUAAUAUAUUGAACCGCAUGGUUCAAUAGUGAAAGACGGUUUUGCUGUCACUUAUAGAUGGAUCCGCGCCGCAUUAGCUAGUUGGUAAGGUAACGGCUUACCAAGGCAACGAUGCGUAGCCGACCUGAGAGGGUGAUCGGCCACACUGGAACUGAGACACGGUCCAGACUCCUACGGGAGGCAGCAGUAGGGAAUCUUCCGCAAUGGGCGAAAGCCUGACGGAGCAACGCCGCGUGAGUGAUGAAGGUCUUCGGAUCGUAAAACUCUGUUAUUAGGGAAGAACAAAUGUGUAAGUAACUAUGCACGUCUUGACGGUACCUAAUCAGAAAGCCACGGCUAACUACGUGCCAGCAGCCGCGGUAAUACGUAGGUGGCAAGCGUUAUCCGGAAUUAUUGGGCGUAAAGCGCGCGUAGGCGGUUUUUUAAGUCUGAUGUGAAAGCCCACGGCUCAACCGUGGAGGGUCAUUGGAAACUGGAAAACUUGAGUGCAGAAGAGGAAAGUGGAAUUCCAUGUGUAGCGGUGAAAUGCGCAGAGAUAUGGAGGAACACCAGUGGCGAAGGCGACUUUCUGGUCUGUAACUGACGCUGAUGUGCGAAAGCGUGGGGAUCAAACAGGAUUAGAUACCCUGGUAGUCCACGCCGUAAACGAUGAGUGCUAAGUGUUAGGGGGUUUCCGCCCCUUAGUGCUGCAGCUAACGCAUUAAGCACUCCGCCUGGGGAGUACGG